rnacentral:lncRNA from 1 species
CAUCAAGCUGUUUGUAUAAUUUAGCAAUUUCUUCUUCACACUUUCUUCUUUCAGCAUCAGUAAAAUUUCCUAUAACUCCAAUUGCGGUUGCUGGUUUAUCAUUGGUAAGAGUAAUAUCUUUAUCCACUGUGAAAGCUUCCAAGUUGGCUUUCUCUUUGUCAAACUGUUCAUCAAUAGGCACCGUCUCCCCAUUACGCCAUCUGUUGAGCUCAUUUUCAAGCCACUGAAUAGUGUUCCGCAGGAUCUUAUUUUUUUCUUUUUCUUUUUCAUACUUCUUUUUCCACUGUUCUGCAGUUAACUCCACAUUGACACAAACUGUGUUCUUA